AUGGGGAUAUUUGGAAAUCACUGAUGUACUCAUGCCAAACUGGAAAGGGGGAGAGAAGUUACGGCUCUGAUUCUCUGAUGAAUAUUAGUAUUCCUCCGUACGUAUGGACAUCAGAGUCUUCAUAAAUCAGCCCGUCUUUAGGCAGGAAGGGAGGACGUUUGUUCCUGAAGAUAAAAAUGACCGGAUUUGGGCCCCGAGAGAAUUGUCACUCGUGCUUGCGCUGUCCAACAGAGCGAGCUUCAAGAGAAGAUCUCUCCCACCAUUUUGGCUUCUUAGAAUGAAGUAGCAAAAAUUCAGUGUCUGGCGGUUGCUAGGCAACCAGAGUCCACGGCUGCCCUUUUCCAUUCAAAAUCAUCUGCCUUUUUAUAUUGUUCUGAAUUAUUGUUUUAUGGGGCGGGGAACACAACUGGAAGUGAAAUUGGGACCGAGCGUCUAGGGAUUUAAGGAUAUGGGAACUCGGGAAACGAAUAUUGGACCCGAUAACCUGUGACAAGAUAGAAGGAGGGUGUACCCUGCUAUUGGGCUGCGAUGCUGCUUUGGGAAGAAGAACGGCCUAGACGAAUCAGAAGGUCAUGGAUUCUUAUCCCGGCUCCGCCACUUGUCUGCGGUGUGACCUUGGGCAGGUCACCUGACCUCUGUGUGCCUCAGUUUCCUCAACUGCAAAAUGGGGAUUCAUAGAGCCCAAUUAUCCGAAGGCCAUGCUGCUCCCUGGAGUUUCCAGUCUCAUGGAGAGGGAUGCAAAGUGUAAACCUGCCACAGGAACAAGUACAAGAGCAGCGAUUCAACUGAGAAAACCAAAACUGUGCU